rnacentral:lncRNA from 1 species
CAGACAACUCAAAAACCAAAAAUAUCUACUGCAAAAUAAAGCUUAGCCUAAAUGCUAAUAGAUAUAGGUCAAAAUAUGUCCUGGUCGAAUUGUAGGAAAAUCAAACCGAAAAAAGGAAAAAAUAUUGGUAGUUUUCCUUUCUCUCUCACAUGUUAAAACGGAAGACAGAGCAGUCUUGCUAAAACCACGCAUAACUUUUGAUAUAACCAAUGGACUGACCUCAGACUGGUGGCAUUGGAAAUCUAAUUAAAAUAUAUAUCUUGUGUCAAAUUUUGAGCUUCAUGCAUCAGUGGGAAGUCCUCCAUCCCUUGCUAAUUAUGAUGCUUCUGUAUAGCUCUGCAUCUUCAAUUUCUCUUUUUGCAUCCAAUUCGACCUCUUUUGUUCCAAGUAGAUCAAAAACCUAUAAAUACUCGAUCAAAUAAUAAGUAUAACACUCGUGUCAUUCUCACUCGAGACUAGCGUGUUACCAACAAUAUUUUGUAUCUCAAAAACCAUAAAAGGGGGUGAAAGUUGACUUUCAUAUUAAUAACACAAUAAAUCCAUAAAUCCAAUAACCAAAAUAGCUGAAAUAAUAGUUGGAAAUAGUAAAACGAAAGUCUGAAAAAAAAAAGAAGAAAACGCCCGAAAACACCAUACGUACGGUCAGUAUCCUACUCGUCAGUCUCACCUGCAUGAGAGGAAAGAG